GAUGAACGCUGGCGGCGUGCCUAAUACAUGCAAGUCGAGCGAACGGACGAGAAGCUUGCUUCUCUGAUGUUAGCGGCUGACGGGUGAGUAACACGUGGAUAACCUACCUAUAAGACUUGGAUAACUUCGGGAAACCGGAGCUAAUACCGGAUAAUAUUUUGAACCGCAUGGUUCAAAAGUGAAAGACGGUCUUGCUGUCACUUAUAGAUGGAUCCGCGCUGCAUUAGCUAGUUGGUAAGGUAACGGCUUACCAAGGCAACGAUGCAUAGCCGACCUGAGAGGGUGAUCGGCCACACUGGAACUGAGACACGGUCCAGACUCCUACGGGAGGCAGCAGUAGGGAAUCUUCCGCAAUGGGCGAAAGCCUGACGGAGCAACGCCGCGUGAGUGAUGAAGGUCUUCGGAUCGUAAAACUCUGUUAUUAGGGAAGAACAUAUGUGUAAGUAACUGUGCACAUCUUGACGGUACCUAAUCAGAAAGCCACGGCUAACUACGUG
rnacentral:rRNA from 1 species